AGUGAACGCUGGCGGCAGGCCUAACACAUGCAAGUCGAGCGGCAGCGAGUCCUUCGGGAUGCCAGCGAGCGGCGGACGGGUGAGGAAUGCGUCGGAAUCUGCCUUUUUGUGGGGGAUAACGUAGGGAAACUUACGCUAAUACCGCAUACGACCUACGGGUGAAAGUGGGGGACCGCAAGGCCUCACGCAGAAAGAUGAGCCGACGCCGGAUUAGCUAGUUGGCGGGGUAAAGGCCCACCAAGGCGACGAUCCGUAGCUGGUCUGAGAGGAUGAUCAGCCACACUGGAACUGAGACACGGUCCAGACUCCUACGGGAGGCAGCAGUGGGGAAUAUUGGACAAUGGGCGCAAGCCUGAUCCAGCCAUGCCGCGUGUGUGAAGAAGGCCUUCGGGUUGUAAAGCACUUUUGUCCGGAAAGAAAUCCAAUCGAUUAAUACUCGGUUGGGAUGACGGUACCGGAAGAAUAAGCACCGGCUAACUUCGUGCCAGCCGCCGCCGUAACAC
rnacentral:rRNA from 1 species